AUGGCCGGAAGGGGCAAGGCGAUCGGCUCGGGCGCCGCCAAGAAGGCCAUCUCCAGGAGCUCCAAGGCCGGGCUCCAGUUCCCCGUCGGCAGGAUCGCGCGGUUCCUCAAGGCCGGCAAGUACGCCGAGAGGGUCGGCGCCGGCGCCCCCGUCUACCUCGCCGCCGUGCUGGAGUAUCUCGCCGCUGAGGUUCUGGAGUUGGCCGGGAACGCGGCGAGGGACAACAAGAAGACCCGCAUCGUGCCGCGCCACAUCCAGCUCGCCGUCCGCAACGACGAGGAGCUCUCCCGCCUGCUCGGCAUGGUCACAAUCGCCAGCGGUGGUGUCAUGCCCAACAUCCACAACCUCCUGCUCCCCAAGAAGGCCGGUGGCAGCAAGGCCGUGGCUGCCGACGACGAUAGCUAG
rnacentral:rRNA from 1 species